rnacentral:rRNA from 1 species
AGAGUUUGAUCCUGGCUCAGGACUAACGCUGGCGGUAUGCCUUAGACAUGCAAGUCGAACGAGUUUCCGGGCUUGCUCGGAAACUAGUGGCGAACGGCUGAGUAACGCGUAGGUGACCUACCCCGUAGUGUGGAAUAACUGCCCGAAAGGGUAGCUAAUACCGCAUGUUGAGCCGACAUCAAUGUCGUCUCCAAAGCAGAAAUGCGCUAUGGGCGGGGCCUGCGUUCGAUUAGCUAGUUGGUGGGGUAAUGGCUCACCAAGGCGACGAUCGAUAGGUGGUCUGAGAGGACGAUCACCCAGACUGGGACUGAGACACGGCCCAGACUCCUACGGGAGGCAGCAGUCGGGAAUUUUGCGCAAUGGGGGAAACCCUGACGCAGCAAUACCGCGUGUGGGAUGAAGGCCUUCGGGUCGUAAACCACUUUUUUCGGGGACGAUAAUGACGGUACCCGAAGAAUAAGCCACGGCUAACUACGUGCCAGCAGCCGCGGUAAUACGUAGGUGGCAAGCGUUGUCCGGAUUUACUGGGCGUAAAGCGCGCGCAGACGGUGAAUGAAGUCGAAAGUGAAAGCCCCGGGCUCAACUCGGGAACUGCUUUCGAAACCAGUUCACUUGAAAGGCGGAAGAGGGAAGUGGAAAUUCCGAGUGUAGUGGUGGAAUGCGUA